CCAUAGCAAGAAAAAAGGAAGAAAAGAAGAACAAAAACCCUAGAGUGAAAAUUCAAGAGAAAAUUGGUGGAUUUCAAGUAAUCAAGCCAUCAAAGGUGAAAUUUCUUAACUCUAGCUUGUGAUAUAUCUUUCCUAUGCAUUAUUUUGCAUUUUCCAUGGUUGAAUCACAAGAUAUCAUGAAGGAUAGUGUGUUGAUCAAACCCUAGGAGAGAGAAUUUGAUGAAGAUUUAGAUAGAUUUUUAAGAUAUAUGGAUGUUUUUAGUUGUUUAUGGUGUUAAGUGUAAGAAUUAAGCUUGAAAUUCACAUAUUCCUCAAGAGUUCAUCAUUGGCCGAAUCUUCCUUGUAAAGUGUUGAUGGUGGAUUUGAUUUAUUUCAAGUGAAUUGGUUAGGAAAUGAUGAAUUACGGUGAGAAAACCAAGUAGGAAAAAUCAUAGUGUUGAUGCACUCACCAUGGCCGAAAUUCUCAAGAAGAAAUGUGAGGAUGGUUUUGUUAAAUUUUAUGUUAUUUAACUUGUGUUUGGUGAUUUGAAGUAUUGGGAGAGAAAUGGAAUUAUUUGGAGUUGAAUUGGACGUAUUAGCCAAUUAAUCAGGUGAUAGAUCGAAUUAGGCCAACACCGCAUGUAGACGAUAAUUUGAACAAUUCGCGUUCCAUAUCAUGCAUUCAUAUAGAGUUUAGAUUAGUUUUAUAACGAUUUAGCACCAAUGUGGUAAAUUGCUUGAUUUUGCAUUAUGUCUAGGUGGUGAAUCCUCCGAAAAAGGGCAAAGAAAUUGCACCCGAGGAUCAAUAGUCGGAGUACUCCAAAAUUCAAACUCCUGAUACAGUGAGUAACCUUAUUACCGUCUUAAUUAUCUAAAGUAGUUUUUAUUGGUUUUUUUGUGAUUUUAAGAAAAAUGAGUUUAAAUGGAAAAUCUUUAUGUUUUAUAAGCAAAAUGUGAUUAAAUGAAAU
rnacentral:lncRNA from 1 species